rnacentral:snRNA from 1 species
AACUUUGCUCAGUGGCAGUAUCAUAGCCAAUGAGGUUUAUCUGAAGCGUGAUUAUUGCUAAUUACAAACUUUUCCCAAUACUCUGCCAUGGCAACUUGCAGUAUUGUUGGCACUAGCAAUUUUUGACAGUCUCUACAGAGC